AUUGAACGCUGGCGGCAUGCCUUACACAUGCAAGUCGAACGGCAGCACGGGAGCAAUCCUGGUGGCGAGUGGCGAACGGGUGAGUAAUACAUCGGAACGUGCCCUGUAGUGGGGGAUAACUAGUCGAAAGACUAGCUAAUACCGCAUACGACCUGAGGGUGAAAGUGUGGGACCGCAAGGCCUCAUGCUAUAGGAGCGGCCGAUGUCUGAUUAGCUAGUUGGUGGGGUAAAGGCCUACCAAGGCGACGAUCAGUAGCUGGUCUGAGAGGACGAUCAGCCACACUGGGACUGAGACACGGCCCAGACUCCUACGGGAGGCAGCAGUGGGGAAUUUUGGACAAUGGGGGCAACCCUGAUCCAGCAAUGUCGCGUGUGUGAAGAAGGCCUUCGGGUUGUAAAGCACUUUUGUCCGGAAAGAAAUCGCUUCGGUUAAUACCUGGAGUGGAUGACGGUACCGGAAGAAUAAGGACCGGCUAACUACGUGCCAGCCGCCGCCGUAACAC
rnacentral:rRNA from 1 species